AGAAAGGGGCUCAAGGAAUCCGAAUGAAACAUGGCUAGCCUAGCUUUUUAAAACAUGUUUUGCUGAAAGCUCUUGUCCCCUAAAAUUUUGCGGGUUAAGAGAGCAAUGGUAAGGGACUACUGAACAUGGUACACUUGUUAAACUGAUUUGGAUUAAAAAUAUUGAUCUCUCUGGUGCUACAGAACCUGUAGUAGGCAGAACACAACCAAGAUGACUCAGGUGUGAAAUGGCACUCUGGACACGACCCCAGACACCCAGAGGCACCAAGCCCCACUAAAGUGUUCAAGUUCACCGCAUGACACAGGUAUCAUAGAGACCAGAAGAGAGCAUCAAACUACUGGAAACUGGAGUUACAGAUGACUAAAGCACACAAUUGAGUACUGCAAACCAAAGUUUCAGGCUCUUGUGAGAGCAGGAAGUGUUUUGAUUCCUUUAAUUUCCUAUUUUUCGUUAUAAUGUGCUUUGGUCACGGUGUUAAUAUUAAUUUUUCUUCAGCAAAAUUGUAUUUUAGAAAUUGUAUGUUAGUAAACUUUUGUAUGUGAAAUAUUUUA